rnacentral:lncRNA from 1 species
UGAAGGUAGCAAGAGAAACCUUCUUAUCAUCUGGGCAAUUUAAAACAUCAAAUAUUUUCUCCAUCCGCAUCAUCCAUUGUUCUGCUACCAUUGGAUCAGGCUCACCACUAAAACUGGGAGGACUAAGCUUCUUAAACUGUUCAAUUCCCAACCCAGUCUGGUUUGAAUUCCCAACUUCAUCAUUUCUUCCUUGUCGGACUUGUUGCAUUACUUGUGUCAUCGCCUCUAGAGUUUUCAUAAUUCCACUCAAUUGAUCAGAAGUAGAUGCAACAGGAGAACCAGAUGACCUUGUCAUCCUUGCUUCCUAAAAUUAAUAAAA